ACUCCUACGGGAGGCAGCAGUGGGGAAUAUUGCACAAUGGGGAAACCCUGAUGCAGCGACGCAGCGUGCGGGAUGACGGCCUCGGUUGUAACCGCUUCAGCAGGGAAGAAGCCCCUUCGGGUGACGGUACCUGCAGAAGAAGUACCGGCUAACUACGUGCCAGCAGCCGCGGUAAUACGUAGGGUACAAGCGUUGUCCGGAAUUAUUGGGCGUAAAGAGCUCGUAGGUGGUUGGUCACGUCUGCUGUGGAAACGCAACGCUUAACGUUGCGCGUGCAGUGGGUACGGGGCUGACUAGAGUGCAGUAGGGGAGUCUGGAAUUCCUGGUGUAGCGGUGAAAUGCGCAGAUAUCAGGAGGAACACCGGUGGCGAAGGCGGGACUCUGGGCUGUAACUGACACUGAGGAGCGAAAGCAU
rnacentral:rRNA from 1 species